GCAGCACGGGAGCAAUCCUGGUGGCGAGUGGCGAACGGGUGAGUAAUAUAUCGGAACGUGCCCAUUCGUGGGGGAUAACGUAGCGAAAGUUACGCUAAUACCGCAUACGAUCUACGGAUGAAAGCGGGGGAUCGCAAGACCUCGGUAUAAUGGGGAGCGGCCGAUAUCAGAUUAGCUUGUUGGUGGGGUAAAAGCCCACCAAGGCGACGAUCUGUAGCUGGUCUGAGAGGACGACCAGCCACACUGGGACUGAGACACGGCCCAGACUCCUACGGGAGGCAGCAGUGGGGAAUUUUGGACAAUGGGCGCAAGCCUGAUCCAGCAAUGCCGCGUGCAGGAUGAAGGCCUUCGGGUUGUAAACUGCUUUUGUACGGAACGAAACGGUCCUUUCUAAUACAAGGGGCUAAUGACGGUACCGUAAGAAUAAGCACCGGCUAACUACGUGCCAGCAGCCGCGGUAAUACGUAGGGUGCGAGCGUUAAUCGGAAUUACUGGGCGUAAAGCGUGCGCAGGCGGUUUUGUAAGACAGAUGUGAAAUCCCCGGGCUUAACCUGGGACCUGCAUUUGUGACUGCAAGGCUGGAGUACGGUAGAGGGGGAUGGAAUUCCGCGUGUAGCAGUGAAAUGCGUAGAUAUGCGGAGGAACACCGA
rnacentral:rRNA from 1 species